UAAACUAAAAUAAAAACAAAACUGACUGGUGGUGUCACAAAAAACCUCCACAGAUUAACUUGAGAACAUCGGUCGGCGAAGUGUGGAUGGCUCGCGGCGGCUAGGCAGUCACUCAGCUGGAGGCGGGUUGGCGCACCUCAGCCUGUCACCGCCGCCCACUUGAGUUCGUGACUUAUCACUUGAACACCGUGUACACUUCACCUUUGAAAUGUACAUGGCCUGAAAAUUGCACUUCAGAAGACACAUCGUCACUUGCCGCAGCGAACACCGGGGUUAGCAGCGCCCGCCCAGACUGGUGAGUGAACCCGCUGCUUCAACUCCCGCUUCGAGGCCCCGACCCCUCCCUCCAGCCCCUCAAUCACCAGCGCGUGCUUCGAAUUCUGUCCCAGCAGCGGCAGAUUCAGUACUAAGGUCCAUGUUGUACAAAGCAAGCGCGCAGAUUGCCCGUGACAACGUUCGACGGGGCAACAGUUAGCUAGUCGGCUCAAGAGAUGACACCUAGGAAACUUACGGAGAUGCUUGUGACUAUGGCAAGACCUAAUUUAUGAAGCGGUAAACAGUGACAAGCUCCUACUCCAGCCACGUCCCGCAACAUUCAUCACAAUAAACAUGCACCUAUUUUUGCUCACCACUGCAUGACCAGGAGGCUCACCAGUGCAUGGCGUGGCGGCUCCCGGAAUCCUGCGGGCGUGCGAGUCUUCAGGAGCACCACGGCCAGGUUGAGGGCGAGGGAGGGGGUAUGGGGAAGGAUGUGGGGCUUCUCCCUCACCUCCGACAGACAAGUUUCCAUGUCCAACAAAUAAGAAGAAGUCACCGAACUAGUCUGAUAAACAACACCGAUGAAUAUCAAUGAUCAGCGUCACCCUCCGCCGCGGCUGACAACUUCUCACUGAGCCUUACACGUCUGUCCGCUGCGAGGCGUGUCGUCAGGCCUGCCACCGCCGCCUUUCAAUCACUUAAGUAUUACCAUAAUGUAUAAUCUAUCAGGCAUCUUUAACUAAUGAAUAUUCCUACACA